GAGUUUGAUCAUGGCUCAGAUUGAACGCUGGCGGCAGGCCUAACACAUGCAAGUCGAGCGGUAGAGAGAAGCUUGCUUCUCUUGAGAGCGGCGGACGGGUGAGUAAUGCCUAGGAAUCUGCCUGGUAGUGGGGGAUAACGCUCGGAAACGGACGCUAAUACCGCAUACGUCCUACGGGAGAAAGCAGGGGACCUUCGGGCCUUGCGCUAUCAGAUGAGCCUAGGUCGGAUUAGCUAGUUGGUGAGGUAAUGGCUCACCAAGGCGACGAUCCGUAACUGGUCUGAGAGGAUGAUCAGUCACACUGGAACUGAGACACGGUCCAGACUCCUACGGGAGGCAGCAGUGGGGACAUAGU
rnacentral:rRNA from 1 species